ACAGGAUUAGAUACCCUGGUAGUCCACGCCGUAAACGAUGAGUGCUAAGUGUUAGGGGGUUUCCGCCCCUUAGUGCUGCAGCUAACGCAUUAAGCACUCCGCCUGGGGAGUACGGUCGCAAGACUGAAACUCAAAGGAAUUGACGGGGGCCCGCACAAGCGGUGGAGCAUGUGGUUUAAUUUGAAGCAACGCGAAGAACCUUACCAGGUCUUGACAUCCUUUGACAAUCCUAGAGAUAGGACGUCCCCUUCGGGGGCAGAGUGACAGGUGGUGCAUGGUUGUCGUCAGCUCGUGUCGUGAGAUGUUGGGUUAAGUCCCGCAACGAGCGCAACCCUUGAUUUUAGUUGCCAGCAUUCAGUUGGGCACUCUAAGGUGACUGCCGGUGACAAACCGGAGGAAGGUGGGGAUGACGUCAAAUCAUCAUGCCCCUUAUGACCUGGGCUACACACGUGCUACAAUGGACAGAACAAAGGGCAGCGAAACCGCGAGGUUAAGCCAAUCCCACAAAUCUGUUCUCAGUUCGGAUCGCAGUCUGCAACUCGACUGCGUGAAGCUGGAAUCGCUAGUAAUCGCGGAUCAGCAUGCCGCGGUGAAUACGUUCCCGGGCCUUGUACACACCGCCCGUCACACCACGAGAGUUUGUAACACCCGAAGUCGGUGAGGU
rnacentral:rRNA from 1 species